AGCGCUCAUAGUCGGCGGCAAUGCGGUCGAGCGUUUCCAGUACGCGCGGUUUGAGCGCGGCUUCCAUCGCCGAGAGCGACA
rnacentral:tRNA from 1 species